rnacentral:rRNA from 1 species
AGCGAACGCUGGCGGCAGGCCUAACACAUGCAAGUCGAACGAAGUCUUCGGACUUAGUGGCGGACGGGUGAGUAACACGUGGGAACGUACCUUUUGGUUCGGAACAACCCAGGGAAACUUGGGCUAAUACCGGAUACGCCCUCCGGGGGACAGAUUCAUUGCCGAAAGAUCGGCCCGCGUCGGAUUAGCUAGUUGGUGGGGUAAAAGCCUACCAAGGCGACGAUCCGUAGCUGGUCUGAGAGGACGACCAGCCACACUGGGACUGAGACACGGCCCAGACUCCUACGGGAGGCAGCAGUGGGGAAUAUUGGACAAUGGGCGCAAGCCUGAUCCAGCCAUGCCGCGUGGGUGAAGAAGGCCCUAGGGUUGUAAACCCCUUUCAGCGGGGAAGAUAAUGACGGUACCCGCAGAAGAAGCCCCGGCUAACUCCGUGCCAGCCGCCGCAGUAAUAC